CAAGUCGCACGGGACUAUUUGAGUAGCAAUACAAGAAUAGUUUAGUGGCGCACGGGUGAGUAACACGUGAAUUACAUGCCCUGCAGAGGGGGAUAGCCCAGGGAAACUUGGAUUAAUACCCCAUGGUAUCGCGAGAUUAAAGGUGGCCAGCAAUGGCUGUCGCUGCAGGAUUGGUUCGCGCCCUAUCAGCUUGUUGGUGAGGUAACGGCUCACCAAGGCUACGACGGGUACCUGGUCUGAGAGGACGAUCAGGCACACUGGAACUGAGACACGGUCCAGACACCUACGGGUGGCAGCAGUCGAGAAUAAUUCACAAUGGGGGCAACCCUGAUGGUGCAACGCCGCGUGGAGGAUGAAGGUCUUCGGAUUGUAAACUCCUGUCAUCCGGGAGUAAGACCUGGCGAUGAAUAGUCGACAGGGUUGAUAGUACCGGAAGAGGAAGGGACGGCUAACUUCGUGCCAGCAGCCGCGGUAAUACGAAGGUCCCGAGCGUUGUUCGGAAUCACUGGGCGUAAAGGGAGCGUAGGCGGCGUGGUAAGUCAGAUGUGAAAUCCCGGGGCUCAACCCCGGAACUGCAUCCGAUACUGCCGUGCUAGAGGAUUGGAGAGGUAGCUGGAAUUCACGGUGUAGCAGUGAAAUGCGUAGAUAUCGUGAGGAACACUCGUGGCGAAAGCGAGCUACUGGACAACUCCUGACGCUGAGGCUCGAAGGCCAGGGUAGCGAAAGGGAUUAGAUACCCCUGUAGUCCUGGCAGUAAACGGUGCACGCUUGGUGUGAGGGGAAUCGACCCCCCUUGUGCCGGAGCAAACGCGUUAAGCGUGCCGCCUGGGAAGUACGGUCGCAAGACUAAAACUCAAAGAAAUUGACGG
rnacentral:rRNA from 1 species